rnacentral:rRNA from 1 species
CCUACGGGGAGCAGCAGUGGGGAAUAUUGCACAAUGCGGGAAACCCUGAUGCAGCGACGCCGCGUGAGUGAAGAAGUCAUUCGUUAUGUAAAGCUCUAUCAGCAGGGAAGAAAAUGACGGUACCUGAGUAAGAAUCCCUGGCCAACUCCGUGCUAGCAGCCGCGGUCAUACGGAGGGGGCAAGCGUUCGCCGGAUUUACUGGGUGUAACGGGAACGUAGACGGCAGUGCAAGUCUGGAGUGAAAGGCGAGGGCUCAACCCCCGGACUGCUCUGGAAACUGUACGGCUGGAGUGCAGGAGAGGUGAGUAGAAUUCCUAGUGUAGCGGUGAAAUGCGUAGAUAUUAGGAGGAACACCAGUGGCGAAGGCGGCUAACUGGACUGUAACUGACGUUGAGGCUCGAAAGCGUGGGGAGCAAACAGGAUUAGAUACCCCUGUAGUC